GACGAACGCUGGCGGCGUGCCUAAUACAUGCAAGUCGAACGCAGUGGGGACGGGUGAGUAACAUGUGGGUAACCUCCCAUCAGAGGGGAAAACACUUGGAAACAGGUGCUAAACCGAUACGGAUGGCUGGACCCGCGGUGCUUUAGCUAGUUGGUGAGGGAACGGCUCACCAAGGCCCCGAUUCCUAGCCGGCCUGAGAGGAUGAUCAGCCACACUGGGCCUGGGCCACGGCCCAGACUCCUACGGGAGGCAGCAGUAGGGAAUCUUCAGCAAUGGACGAAAGUCUGACCGAGCCACGCCGCGUUAGUGAAGAAGGUUUUCGGAUCGUAAAUCUCUGUUGUCAGAGAAGCGGUAUCUAACCAGAAAGCCACGGCUAACUACGUGCCAGCAGCCGCGGUAAUAC
rnacentral:rRNA from 1 species